GGAAUUACUGGGCGUAAAGGGCUCGUAGGCGGCCAACUAAGUCAGACGUGAAAUCCCUCGGCUUAACCGGGGAACUGCGUCCGAUACUGGAUGGCUUGAGUUCGGGAGAGGGAUGCGGAAUUCCAGGUGUAGCGGUGAAAUGCGUAGAUAUCUGGAGGAACACCGGUGGCGAAGGCGGCAUCCUGGACCGACACUGACGCUGAGGAGCGAAAGCCAGGGGAGCAAACGGG
rnacentral:rRNA from 1 species